UGCUCAAGCUAUGCCUGUUGUAGGACAC
rnacentral:piRNA from 1 species